rnacentral:rRNA from 1 species
CGAUAAGCAAGUAAGGGCACACGGUGGAUGCCUUGGCACAAGAAGGCGAUGAAGGACGUGAUAAGCUGCGAUAAGCUUCGGGGAGGUGCAAAUAACCUUCGAUCCGAAGAUUUCCGAAUGGGAAAACCCAUCAGGUUGAAGACCUGUUAUCCAUAGCUGAAAACAUAGGCUAUGGAGGCCAACCCGGAGAACUGAAACAUCUAAGUACCCGGAGGAAAAGAAAACAAUAGUGACUCCCUAAGUAGUGGCGAGCGAAAGGGGACCAGCCCAAACCGAAAGCGUUUCGGCGCUUUCGGGGUUGUAGGACCUGCAUACGAUGAUCUGUUAGCUCAAGACGAAGUGGUCUGGAAAGCCACGCCAUAGAGGGUGAUAGCCCCGUAGACGUCAGGCGAGCAGCAUCGCAGUGUUCCUGAGUAUCACGGGACCGGAGAAAUCCUGUGAGAAUCUGCCAGCACCAUCUGGUAAGGCUAAGUACUCUCUUGUGACCGAUAGUGCACUAGUACCGUGAGGGAAAGGUGAAAAGAACGCCUAGUAGGCGAGUGAAAUAGUACCUGAAACCGUGUGCUUACAACCAGUGGGAGCUCCUUCGGGAGUGACCGCGUGCCUUUUGCAUAAUGAGCCUACGAGUUGCUCCUCACUGGCAAGGUUAAGGCGUUUAGCGCCGAAGCCGAAGCGAAAGCGAGUCUGAAUAGGGCGUUCAGUCAGUGGGGGCAGACGCGAAACCGGGUGAGCUACCCAUGGCCAGGUUGAAGCGCGGGUAAGACCGCGUGGAGGACCGAACGGGUGUCUGUUGAAAAAGGCUCCGAUGAGCUGUGGGUAGGGGUGAAAGGCCUAUCAAACCCGGAAAUAGCUCGUACUCCCCGAAAUGUAUUUAGGUACAGCGUCGCCGUAGAGUGUGCCGGAGGUAGAGCACUGAUUGGACGCGGGCCCUUCACCGGGUACCAACUCCAGACAAACUCCGAAUGCCGGACACAUGUUAGGCGGCAGUGAGGGCGCGGGUGAUAAGAUCCGUGUCCGAGAGGGAAACAACCCAGAUCGACAGCUAAGGCCCCAAAGUCCAGACUAAGUUGAGCAAAGGAGGUCGGACUGCAUAGACAACCAGGAUGUUGGCUUAGAAGCAGCCAUUCAUUUAAAGAGUGCGUAAUAGCUCACUGGUCGAGCGGUCCGGCAUCGAAAAUGUUCGGGCAUCAAGUCUGGCGCCGAAGCUUCGGAUUCUAGUUUUCUAGAGUGGUAGGGGAGCAUUCCAUAGGCGCUGAAGCCGUGCCGUAAGGCAUUGUGGAGCGUAUGGAAGCGAAAAUGUAGGCAUGAGUAACGAUAAGACAGGUGAGAAACCUGUCCGCCGUAAGCCUAAGGGUUCCUGUUCAACGUUAAUCGGAGCAGGGUUAGUCGGGACCUAAGCCGAGGCCGAAAGGCGUAGGCGAUGGCAAACGGGUUAAAUAUUCCCGUACCACCCAACAACGUUAACUCAAGGCGUGACGCAGGAGUGUAAGGUCCGCGACCUGACGGAUGGUCGUUGAAGCGCGUAGACCGUGGGGUAGGCAAAUCCGCCCCGCAUAUAGGUUGAAACGCAACAGUAGGGGGAGCCUUCGGGUGAACCCAUAGUGACCCCAAACAUGCUGCCGAGAAAAGCGUCGUGAGCUGUUUAGGGUGCCCGUACCGUAAACCGACACAGGUAGGCGAGGAGAGUAUCCUCAGGCGCUCGAGUGAUGCGCGAUUAAGGAACUAGGCAAAUUAGUCCCCUAACUUCGGGAGAAGGGACGCCAGUCUUUGACUGGCCGCAGUGAAAAGGCCCAACCGACUGUUUAACAAAAACACAGCUCUCUGCCAAGUCGCAAGACGAAGUAUAGGGAGUGACACCUGCCCGGUGCUGGAAGGUUAAGGAAGGGGGUUAGCCCUUGUGGCGAAGCUCUCGACCGAAGCCCCAGUAAACGGCGGCCGUAACUAUAACGGUCCUAAGGUAGCGAAAUUCCUUGUCGGGUAAGUUCCGACCUGCACGAAUGGUGCAACGAGUUGGGCACUGUCUCGAUCGCGCGCUCGGUGAAAUUGUGGUGCCGGUGAAGACGCCGGAUACCCGCAGCGGGACGGAAAGACCCCGUGCACCUUUACUACAGCUUAGCAUUGACACUUGCCAAACCAUGUGUAGGAUAGGCGGGAGACUUUGAAGUGGCGUCGCCAGGCGUCAUGGAGUCACCCUUGAAAUACCGCCCUUGGUUUGGUCGGUGCCUAACCCACGGCCGUGAUCCGGUCGGGGAACAGUGUUAGGUGGGUAGUUUGACUGGGGCGGUCGCCUCCUAAAUUGUAACGGAGGCUUGCAAAGGUGUCCUCAGCACGGUCGGUAAUCGUGCGUAGAGUGUAAAGGCACAAGGACGCUUAACUGCGAGACAUACAGGUCGAGCAGGUGCGAAAGCAGGCCUUAGUGAUCCGGCGGUCCCGAAUGGAAGGGCCGUCGCUCAAAGGAUAAAAGGUACGCCGGGGAUAACAGGCUUAUCUCCCCCAAGAGUUCACAUCGACGGGGAGGUUUGGCACCUCGAUGUCGGCUCAUCGCAUCCUGGGGCUGGAGAAGGUCCCAAGGGUUGGGCUGUUCGCCCAUUAAAGCGGUACGUGAGCUGGGUUCAGAACGUCGUGAGACAGUUCGGUCCCUAUCUGCUGUGGGCGUUGGAAAUUUGACUGGAGCUGUCCUUAGUACGAGAGGACCGGGACGGACUGACCUCUGGUGUACCAGUUGUGCCGCCAGGCGCAUCGCUGGGUAGCUAUGUCGGGAAGGGAUAAGCGCUGAAAGCAUCUAAGCACGAAGCCCACCAGAAGAUGAGAUUUCCCUUGUAGGUCGUUCGAGACUAGGACGUUGAUAGGCGGCAGGUUGAAGCGUGGUAACAUGUGAAGCCGAGCCGUACUAAUUACCUACGUGGCUUAAC